rnacentral:pre_miRNA from 1 species
UGUGGGUUAAAUCAUCUAGAUUCAUAGAUUAACAUACGAUUCUAGGUAAUUUAAGCUACAAA